CCUUCGAUAGCCAGUUGGUAGAGCGGGGGACUGUAGAUUUAUAAUUGUGAUCCCUAGAUCGCUGGUUCGAAUCCGGCUCGAAGGA
rfam:Nematostella vectensis strain CH2 x CH6 NEMVEscaffold_285_Cont22394, whole genome shotgun sequence.